rnacentral:lncRNA from 10 species
CCUUCGACCAAAUCACAACCUCCUGUUUGAUUCCCCUUCAUGCUAAGCCUCUUUCAAAUUCUUUUUCCUGAGCUGGAAGACCAGUUGGAUGCCCACAGGGUCAGCGCCAAGCACAUUCCCAGCUGGGCAACUGUGUACCUUUCUCUAGGAGUGCACGACACCCUUCCCCCACAACUCCUUGUUUUAAAGGAUUUAACCCAUUAGGAAGCCCAUUUUUCAAUCUAAGCCAGAAGGAGGUGCAGGACAAGGCAGUCUUCACUUUGAAGGUCCCUUUCCUGCUCCAGUCCCUGGGCUGGGGUUCUAGAAGAGGCUGGCUGCUGGGUUUACAUGAGGCCACCGAAGAUCUAAGUUCUAGGACUCUUUUUUAAUCCACAAGCAGACGACUUCAUGAAAGCAGAGAAUGCGGAUCCAAGAUCCAGUGGAACAAGAAUUUAUUUCAUGGGACUGCAUGAGGUGCUGUGGGAAUUUCAUCAUAGUUAUUUCUUUAAACUCUUGUUAAUGUUGUUUCAAUGUUCUAUUUUCAGGCUCUAAGAGGAAACCUUUUCUCUUCUUUGGCUCUCUGUAACC